GACGUAGGGCGCGAGCGUUGUCCGGAUUUAUUGGGCGUAAAGAGCUCGUAGGCGGCUUGUCGCGUCGACCGUGGAAACCUGGGGCUCAACCCCAAGCCUGCGGUCGAUACGGGCAGGCUCGAGUUCGGUAGGGGAGACUGGAAUUCCUGGUGUAGCGGUGAAAUGCGCAGAUAUCAGGAGGAACACCGGUGGCGAAGGCGGUUCUCUGGGCAUUACCUGACGCUGAGGAGCGAAAGCAUGGGGAGCGAACAGG
rnacentral:rRNA from 1 species